rnacentral:rRNA from 1 species
CCUACGGGAGGCUGCAGUGGGGAAUAUUGGACAAUGGGGGCAACCCUGAUCCAGCCAUGCCGCGUGUGUGAAGAAGGCCCUCGGGUUGUAAAGCACUUUCAGUGAGGAAGAACGCCUGGUGGUUAAUACCCAUCAGGAAAGACAUCACUCACAGAAGAAGCACCGGCUAACUCCAUGCCAGCAGCCGCGGUAAUACGGAGGGUGCGAGCGUUAAUCGGAAUUACUGGGCGUAAAGCGCGCGUAGGUGGCUUGAUAAGCCGGUUGUGAAAGCCCCGGGCUCAACCUGGGAACGGCAUCCGGAACUGUCAAGCUAGAGUGCAGGAGAGGAAGGUAGAAUUCCCGGUGUAGCGGUGAAAUGCGUAGAGAUCGGGAGGAAUACCAGUGGCGAAGGCGGCCUUCUGGACUGACACUGACACUGAGGUGCGAAAGCGUGGGUAGCAAACAGGAUUAGAUACCCCUGUAGUC